AGUCGAACGGCAGCGCAGACUUCGGUCUGGUGGCGAAAGUGGCGAACGUGGGUGAGUAAUGUAUCGGAACGUGCCUAAUGGCGGGAGAUAACUGCGCGCGGCGUGCUGUCCCACCGCAUACGCCCUUCGGAGAAAGCAGGGGACCUUCGGGCCUCCCGCACUAAUGCAAACGGCCGAUAUCCGGAUUAGCAGCAUAGUUGGUGGGGUAACGGCUCACCGAGGCGACGAUCCGUAGCCGGUUUGAGAGGACGACCAGCCACACUGGGACUGAGACACGGCCCAGACUCCUACGGGAGGCAGCAGUGGGGAAUUUUGGACAAUAGGGAAACCCUGGUCCGGCCAUCCGCGUGUGCGACAGAAGGCCUUCAGGUUGUAAAGCACUUUUGGCAGGAAAGAAACGGCACGGGAUAAUACCCGUGCAACUGACAGUGCAUGCAGAAUAAGCACCGGCUAACUACGUGCCGAGCUUAGCCUACGGUAAUACGUAAGUGCAAGCGUUAAUCAAGAUUACUGGGCGUAAAGCGUGCGCAAGGCGUUCGGAAGAAAGAUGUGAAAUCCCAGAGCUUAACUGGAACUGCAUUUUUAACUACCUGAGCCAGAGUGUCAGAGGGGAGGUGGAAUUCCGCGUGUAGCAGUGAAGAAGUGUCGUAGAUAUGCGGAGGAACACCGAUGGCGAAGGCAGCCUCUGGGAUAACAUGACGCUCAUGCACGAAAGCGUGUGGGAGCAAACAGGAUAGAUACCUGGUAGUCCACGCCCUAAACGAUGUCAACUAGCUGUUGGGGCCUUCGGGCCUUGGUAGCCCGCAGCUAACGCGUGAAGUUGACCGCCUGGGGAGUACGGUCGCAAAGAUUAAAACUCAAAGGAAUUGGCGGACCCGCACCAGCGGUGGAUGAUGUCGGAUGUAAUUCGAUGCAACGCGAAAAACCUUACCUACUUGACAUGUCUGGAAUCGAAGAGAUUUGGGAGUGCUCGCAAGAACCGGAACACCAGGUGCUGCAUGGCUGUCAUCAGCUCGUGUCGUGAGAUGUUGGGUUAAGUCCCGCAACGAGCGCAACCCUUGUCAUUAGUUGCUACGAAAGGGCACUCUAAUGAGACUGCCGGUGACAAACGGAGGAAAGGUGGGGAUGACGUCAAGUCCUCAUGGCCCUUAUGGGUAGGAGCUUCACACGUCAUACAAUGGUCGGGACAGAGGUCGCCAACCCGCGAGGAGCCAAUCCCAGAAACCCGAUCGUAGUCCGGAUCGCAGUCUGCAACUCGACUGCGUGAAGUCGGAAUCGCUGGUAAUCGCGGAUCAGCAUGUCGCGGUGAACCGUUCCCGGGUCUUACAUCACACACACCGCCCGUCACACCACGGGAGUCGGGUUUACCAAGAAGUGGUAGCCUAACCGUAAGGAGGGUGGCGAUUACCACGGUAGGAUUCAUGACUGGGGUGAAGUCGUAACAAGGUAA
rnacentral:rRNA from 1 species